rnacentral:rRNA from 1 species
CCGCAGGUGUAAAGCCGGUGACGGCACAGCCGAGCGGUACUAAUAACCCGAU